CCUACGGGAGGCAGCAGUGAGGAAUAUUGCACAAUGGGCGAAAGCCUGAUGCAGCCAAGCCGCGUGAGGGAAGAAGGUUUUCGGCUCGUAAACUUCUAUCAGUAGGGACGAAAGAGGUGACGCUUCCGGAUUAAGAAGACUCCGCUAACUACGAGCAAGGAGCCGCGGUAAUACGGAGGGUGCAAGAGUACUACGGAUUUACUGGGUGUACAGGGUGAGUAGGCUGCAUGGUAAGCCAGAUGUGAAAGCCUUGGGCUUAACCCGAGGAGUGCAUUUGAAACUGGCAAGCUAGAGUGCAGGAGAGGAAAGCGGAAUGCCUGGUGUAGCGGUGAAAUGCGUAGAUAUUAGGAAGAACACCAGUGGCGAAGGCGGCUUUCCGGA
rnacentral:rRNA from 1 species